GAUGAACGCUGGCGGCGUGCCUAAUACAUGCAAGUCGAGCGAACAGACGAGGAGCUUGCUUCUCUGAUGUUAGCGGCGGACGGGUGAGUAACACGUGGAUAACCUACCUAUAAGACUGGGAUAACUUCGGGAAACCGGAGCUAAUACCGGAUAAUAUUUUGAACCGCAUGGUUCAAAAGUGAAAGACGGUCUUGCUGUCACUUAUAGAUGGAUCCGCGCCGCAUUAGCUAGUUGGUAAGGUAACGGCUUACCAAGGCAACGAUGCGUAGCCGACCUGAGAGGGUGAUCGGCCACACUGGAACUGAGACACGGUCCAGACUCCUACGGGAGGCAGCAGUAGGGAAUCUUCCGCAAUGGGCGAAAGCCUGACGGAGCAACGCCGCGUGAGUGAUGAAGGUCUUCGGAUCGUAAAACUCUGUUAUUAGGGAAGAACAAAUGUGUAAGUAACUAUGCACGUCUUGACGGUACCUAAUCAGAAAGCCACGGCUAACUACGUG
rnacentral:rRNA from 1 species